CCGACUAUACGUGUUUGUGUUUUAGUUACAGAGGAGGGUGUGAAGUUUAGCACGAAAGGAGAAGGAGAUAUACUCUGGUGCAGGUACAAGUUAGCAUUCAUGUUACCGACAAGGGUACUCUCAUGUUUAGCACCAUUGGAGAUUUUGGGAUUUCAACUGUACUCCGCAAGCACGAGCCUUUUGAAGUCACUCUGAUAAAGAUGACUCAGCCUGUGAGCCUGAAAUUUGAAAUGAGAUGUGUGGACAUGCUCAGGAAGGCAACGCUGUUAUCUGAUACACUCACCAUCGAUCAGCUUGUCAAAGGAGCUGCCGGCGGCUGUGUUUGUGUACAAAAUUGCUGCCGAGAUGGGUUGUGUUCGCUUUCACUUGCCGCUUUAUUUUUUGCACACGUUUUCUGGAUUUGAUAUAAAGUAGGACCUGGCACGAACAGUGUUUGCUGGGGUUCAUGUGUAGCUAAAAGGAAUCAAGCUUUGAUGUUCUGUUGUUUUCUUGUCAUUUGCGGUUGGAAAGCACUUUCUACUCUUGGUUUAUAAGUGCUUUUCCAAUUACGGCCAAAUACAGUGAAAAGGCAUCUUCAAUCA